rnacentral:rRNA from 1 species
UACGGGGGGUGCGAGCGUUGUCCGGAAUCACUGGGCGUAAAGGGCGCGUAGGUGGUUUGAUAAGGGUGUGGUGAAAGUCCGGGGCUCAAACUCCGGAUCUGCCGUGCCGACUGUCAAACUCGGAGGGCUGUAGAGGCAGACGGAAUUCCGGGUGUAGCGGUGGAAUGCGUAGAGAUCCGGAGGAAGACCGGUGGCGAAGGCGGUCUGCUGGGCAGUUUCUGACACUGAGGCGCGACAGCGGUGGGGAGCAAACAGGG